AUAGCUACUUUUAGUGUGA
rnacentral:miRNA from 1 species